AGAGUUUGAUCAUGGCUCAGGAUGAACGCUAGCGGCAGGCCUAAUAACUGCAAGUCGAACGAGAUUAUCCAGCUUGCUGGAUAUGAAAGUGGCGCACGGGUGCGUAACGCGUAUGCAACCUACCUUAAUCAGGGGGAUAGCCCGAAGAAAUUCGGAUUAACACCGCAUAAAAACACAGGAUAGCAUUAUCCAAUGUUCAAAUAUUUAUAGGAUUAAGAUGGGCAUGCGUGUCAUUAGCUAGUUGGCGGGGUAACGGCCCACCAAGGCGACGAUGACUAGGGGAUCUGAGAGGAUGACCCCCCACACUGGUACUGAGACACGGACCAGACUCCUACGGGAGGCAGCAGUAAGGAAUAUUGGUCAAUGGAGGGAACUCUGAACCAGCCAUGCCGCGUGCAGGAAGACGGCCCUCUGGGUUGUAAACUGCUUUUAUUCGGGAAUAAACCUAUUUACGUGUAAAUAGCUGAAUGUACCGAAGGAAUAAGGAUCGGCUAACUCCGUGCCAGCAGCCGCGGUAAUACGGAGGAUCCAAGCGUUAUCCGGAUUUAUUGGGUUUAAAGGGUGCGUAGGCGGCUUAUUAAGUCAGGGGUGAAAGACGGUGGCUCAACCAUCGCAGUGCCCUUGAUACUGAUGAGCUUGAAUGGACUAGAGGUAGGCGGAAUGUGACAAGUAGCGGUGAAAUGCAUAGAUAUGUCACAGAACACCGAUUGCGAAGGCAGCUUACUAUGGUCUUAUUGACGCUGAGGCACGAAAGCGUGGGGAUCAAACAGGAUUAGAUACCCUGGUAGUCCACGCCCUAAACGAUGAAUACUCGCUGUUAGCGAUACACAGUUAGCGGCUAAGCGAAAGCGUUAAGUAUUCCACCUGGGGAGUACGCCCGCAAGGGUGAAACUCAAAGGAAUUGACGG
rnacentral:rRNA from 1 species